AUUGAACGCUGGCGGCAUGCCUUACACACGCAAGUCGAACGGCAGCACGGGAGCAAUCCUGGUGGCGAGUGGCGAACGGGUGAGUAAUAUAUCGGAACGUGCCCAGUCGUGGGGGAUAACGUAGCGAAAGCUACGCUAAUACCGCAUACGAUCUAUGGAUGAAAGCGGGGGAUCGCAAGACCUCGCGCGAUUGGAGCGGCCGAUAUCAGAUUAGGUAGUUGGUGAGGUAAAGGCUCACCAAGCCGACGAUCUGUAGCUGGUCUGAGAGGACGACCAGCCACACUGGGACUGAGACACGGCCCAGACUCCUACGGGAGGCAGCAGUGGGGAAUUUUGGACAAUGGGCGCAAGCCUGAUCCAGCAAUGCCGCGUGCAGGAUGAAGGCCUU
rnacentral:rRNA from 1 species